AGCUUAACACAUGCAAGUCGACUGGAAUUCUUCUUCGGAAGAUAGUACGGUGGCGGACGGGUGAGUAACGCGUAAAGAAUUUGCCCUUCAGACCGGGACAACUAAUCGAAAGGUUAGCUAAUACCGGAUAUUAUGAGACCUUGGCAUCAAGGACUUAUGAAAGCUACAUGCGCUGGAGGAGAACUUUGCGUUCCAUUAGCUAGUUGGUAGGGUAAUGGCCUACCAAGGCGACGAUGGAUAGCCGGCCUGAGAGGGUGAACGGCCACAAGGGGACUGAGACACGGCCCUUACUCCUACGGGAGGCAGCAGUGGGGAAUAUUGGACAAUGGACCAAAAGUCUGAUCCAGCAAUUCUGUGUGCACGAUGAA
rnacentral:rRNA from 1 species